GGGAAUUACGCAAUCCUCCGCGUGCACCCUACAAUUGCCGUUGAGGGGAGCGGACCAACUGUCUCCGUCCGCAAACAAACCACCCCUCUCUUCUUCUUCCAUCGGAUCUCAGAUACCAAAUCCUUCCUUUUCUUCAUUCUUCAAAGAGUAAGAACACAGAUUCAGAGCAAAUGGAUGUGCCUAGCUCAUGGGACGCUUUACGCAAACAGGCAAGGAAACUUGAAGCUCAGUUGGAUGAGCAGAU
rnacentral:misc_RNA from 1 species